rnacentral:rRNA from 1 species
AGUGAACGCUGGCGGUAGGCCUAACACAUGCAAGUCGAACGGCAGCACAGUAAGAGCUUGCUCUUACGGGUGGCGAGUGGCGGACGGGUGAGGAAUACAUCGGAAUCUACUUUUUCGUGGGGGAUAACGUAGGGAAACUUACGCUAAUACCGCAUACGACCUACGGGUGAAAGCAGGGGAUCUUCGGACCUUGCGCGAUUGAAUGAGCCGAUGUCGGAUUAGCUAGUUGGCGGGGUAAAGGCCCACCAAGGCGACGAUCCGUAGCUGGUCUGAGAGGAUGAUCAGCCACACUGGAACUGAGACACGGUCCAGACUCCUACGGGAGGCAGCAGUGGGGAAUAUUGGACAAUGGGCGCGAGCCUGAUCCAGCCAUACCGCGUGGGUGAAGAAGGACUUCGGGUUGUAAAGCCCUUUUGUUGGGAGAGAAAAGCAGCAGGUUAAUACCCCGCUGUUCUGACGGUACCCAAAGAAUAAGCACCGGCUAACUUCGUG